GUAGCCUAGUGGUUAGAGUGUAGAGGAGGCAGGUAGCCUAGUGGUUAGAGUGUAGAGGAGGCAGGUAGCCUAGUGGUUAGAGUGUAGAGGAGGCAGGUAGCCUAGUGGUUAGAGUGUAGAGGCGGCAGGUAGUCUAGUGGUUAGAGUGUAGAGGAGGCAGGUAGUCUAGUGGUUAGAGUGUAGAGGAGGCAGGUAGUCUAGUGGUUAGAGUGUAGAGGAGGCAGUGUAGCCUAGUGGUUAGAGUGUAGAGGAGGCAGGUAGUCUAGUGGUUAGAGUGUAGAGGAGGCAGGUAGUCUAGUGGUUAGAGUGUAGAGGCGGCAGGUAGUCUAGUGGUUAGAGUGGAGAGGCGGCAGGUAGUCUAGUGGUUAGAGUGUAGAGGAGGCAGGUAGUCUAGUGGGUAGAGUGUAGAGGAGGCAGGUAGCCUAGUGGUUAGAGUGUAGAGGAGGCAGGUAGCCUAGUGGUUAGAGUGUAGAGGAGGCAGGUAGUCUAGUGGUUAGAGUGUAGAGGAGGCAGGUAGUCUAGUGGUUAGAGUGUAGAGGAGGCAGGGUAGCCUAGUGGUUAGAGUGUAGAGGUGGCAGGUAGCCUAGUGGUUAGAGUGUAGAGGAGGCAGGUAGCCUAGUGGUUAGAGUGUAGAGGAGGCAGGUAGCCUAGUGGUUAGAGUGUAGAGGAGGCAGGGUAGCCUAGUGGUUAGAGUGUAGAGGCGGCAGGUAGUCUAGUGGUUAGAGUGUAGAGGAGGCAGGUAGUCUAGUGGUUAGAGUGUAGAGGAGGCAGGUAGUCUAGUGGUUAGAGUGUAGAGGAGGCAGGUAGACUAGUGGUUAGAGUGUAGAGGAGGCAGGUAGCCUAGUGGUUAGAGUGUAGAGGAGGCAGGUAGUCUAGUGGUUAGAGUGUAGAGGCGGCAGGUAGUCUAGUGGUUAGAGUGUAGAGGCGGCAGGUAGUCUAGUGGUUAGAGUGUAGAGGAGGCAGGUAGUCUAGUGGUUAGAGUGUAGAGGAGGCAGGUAGCCUAGUGGUUAGAGUGUAGAGGAGGCAGGUAGCCUAGUGGUUAGAGUGUAGAGGAGGCAGGUAGUCUAGUGGUUAGAGUGUAGAGGAGGCAGGUAGUCUAGUGGGUAGAGUGUAGAGGAGGCAGGUAGUCUAGUGGUUAGAGUGUAGAGGAGGCAGGGUAGCCUAGUGGUUAGAGUGUAGAGGUGGCAGGUAGCCUAGUGGUUAGAGUGUAGAGGAGGCAGGUAGUCUAGUGGUUAGAGUGUAGAGGAGGCAGGUAGUCUAGUGGUUAGAGUGUAGAGGAGGCAGGUAGCCUAGUGGUUAGAGUGUAGAGGAGGCAGGUAGUCUAGUGGUUAGAGUGUAGAGGAGGCAGGUAGUCUAGUGGUUAGAGUGUAGAGGAGGCAGGUAGCCUAGUGGUUAGAGUGUAGAGGAGGCAGGUAGCCUAGUGGUUAGAGUGUAGAGGAGGCAGGUAGUCUAGUGGUUAGAGUGUAGAGGAGGCAGGUAGUCUAGUGGUUAGAGUGUAGAGGAGGCAGGUAGUCUAGUGGUUAGAGUGUAGAGGAGGCAGGGUAGCCUAGUGGUUAGAGUGUAGAGGUGGCAGGUAGCCUAGUGGUUAGAGUGUAGAGGAGGCAGGUAUUCUAGUGGUUAGAGUGUAGAGGAGGCAGGUAGUCUAGUGGUUAGAGUGUAGAGGAGGCAGGGUAGCCUAGUGGUUAGAGUGUAGAGGUGGCAGGUAGCCUAGUGGUUAGAGUGUAGAGGAGGCAGGUAGCCUAGUGGUUAGAGUGUGGAGGAGGCAGGUAGUCUAGUGGUUAGAGUGUAGAGGAGGCAGGUAGCCUAGUGGUUAGAGUGUAGAGGAGGCAGGGUAGCCUAGUGGUUAGAGUGUAGAGGAGGCAGGUAGUCUAGUGGUUAGAGUGUAGAGGAGGCAGGGUAGUCUAGUGGUUAGAGUGUAGAGGAGGCAGGGUAGCCUAGUGGUUAGAGUGUAGAGGAGGUAGGUAGUCUAGUGGUUAGAGUGUAGAGGAGGCAGGUAGCCUAGUGGUUAGAGUGUAGAGGAGGCAGGGUAGCCUAGUGGUUAGAGUGUAGAGGAGGUAGGUAGUCUAUUGGUUAGAGUGUAGAGGAGGCAGGUAGCCUAGUGGUUAGAGUGUAGAGGCGGCAGGGUAGCCUAGUGGUUAGAGUGUAGAGGCGGCAGGGUAGCCUAGUGGUUAGAGUGUAGAGGAGGCAGGUAGCCUAGUGGUUAGAGUGUAGAGGCGGCAGGGUAGCCUAGUGGUUAGAGUGUAGAGGAGGCAGGUAGCCUAGUGGUUAGAGUGUAGAGGUGGUAGGUAGCCUAGUGGUUAGAGUGUAGAGGAGGCAGGGUAGCCUAGUGGUUAGAGUGUAGAGGUGGCAGGGUAGCCUAGUGGUUAGAGUGUAGAGGAGGCAGGUAGCCUAGUGGUUAGAGUGUAGAGGCGGCAGGGUAGUCUAGUGGUUAGAGUGUAGAGGAGGCAGGUAGUCUAGUGGUUAGAGUGUAGAGGAGGCAGGUAGCCUAGUGGUUAGAGUGUAGAGGAGGCAGGUAGUCUAGUGGUUAGAGUGUAGAGGAGGCAGGUAGCCUAGUGGUUAGAGUGUAGAGGAGGCAGGUAGUCUAGUGGUUAGAGUGUAGAGGGGGCAGGUAGUCUAGUGGUUAGAGUGUAGAGGAGGCAGGUAGUCUAGUGGUUAGAGUGUAGAGGAGGCAGGUAGCCUAGUGGUUAGAGUGUAGAGGAGGCAGGUAGUCUAGUGGUUAGAGUGUAGAGGGGGCAGGUAGUCUAGUGGUUAGAGUGUAGAGGUGGCAGGGUAGCCUAGUGGUUAGAGUGUAGAGGAGGCAGGUAGCCUAGUGUUUAGAGUGUAGAGGAGGCAGGUAGCCUAGUGGUUAGAGUGUAGGGGCAGCAGGGUAGCCUAGUGGUUAGAGUGUAGAGGAGGCAGGUAGUCUAGUGGUUAGAGUGUAGAGGGGGCAGGUAGUCUAGUGGUUAGAGUGUAGAGGUGGCAGGGUAGCCUAGUGGUUAGAGUGUAGAGGAGGCAGGUAGUCUAGUGGUUAGAGUGUAGAGGAGGCAGGUAGUCUAGUGGUUAGAGUGUAGAGGUGGCAGGGUAGUCUAGUGGUUAGAGUGUAGAGGAGGCAGGUAGUCUAGUGGUUAGAGUGUAGAGGUGGCAGGGUAGUCUAGUGGUUAGAGUGUAGAGGAGGCAGGUAGUCUAGUGGUUAGAGUGUAGAGGAGGCAGGUAGCCUAGUGGUUAGAGUGUAGAGGAGGCAGGUAGCCUAGUGGUUAGAGUGUAGAGGUGGUAGGUAGCCUAGUGGUUAGAGUGUAGAGGAGGCAGGGUAGCCUAGUGGUUAGAGUGUAGAGGCGGCAGGGUAGCCUAGUGGUUAGAGUGUAGAGGAGGCAGGUAGCCUAGUGGUUAGAGUGUAGAGGUGGCAGGUAGCCUAGUGGUUAGAGUGUAGAGGGGGCAGGGUAGCCUAGUGGUUAGAGUGGAGAGGAGGAAGGGUAGCCUAGUGGUUAGAGUGUAGAGGGGGCAGGGUAGCCUAGUGGUUAGAGUGUAGAGGAGGCAGGUAGCCUAGUGGUUAGAGUGUAGAGGCGGCAGGGUAGCCUAGUGGUUAGAGUGUAGAGGAGGCAGGUAGCCUAGUGGUUAGAGUGUAGAGGGGGCAGGUAGCCUAGUGGUUAGAGUGUAGAGGAGGCAGGUAGCCUAGUGGUUAGAGCGUUGGGCCAGUCACUGAAAAGUUGCAAGAUCAAUUCCCCGAGCCGACAAGGUACAAAUCUGUUGUUCUGCCCCUGAACAAGGCAGUUAACCCACUGUUCCCCUGAACAAGGCAGUUAACCCACUGUUCGCCUGAACAAGGCAGUUAACCCACUGUUCCCCUGAACAAGGCAGUUAACCCACUGUUCCCCUGAACAAGGCAGUUAACCCACUGUUCCCCUGAACAAGGCAGUUAACCCACUGUUCGCCUGAACAAGGCAGUUAACCCACUGUUCCCCUGAACAAGGCAGUUAACCCACUGUUCCCCUGAACAAGGCAGUUAACCCACUGUUCCCCUGAACAAGGCAGUUAACCCACUGUUCCCCUGAACAAGGCAGUUACCCCACUGUUCCCCUGAACAAGGCAGUUAACCCACUGUUCCCCUGAACAAGGCAGUUAACCCACUGUUCCCCUGAACAAGGCAG